rfam:Picea glauca, whole genome shotgun sequence.
GCUCAGUUGCGAGAGCGUCAGAAUGAAGAUCUGGAGGUUGCGUGUUUGAUCCACGC